UCAGUCUGUGGGUUCAUCCUGUUUGGUACCAUGUGUUUCUGCAGUGUUAUGGUUCUGGUUCUGGUUCUGGUUCUGGUUCCUGUUCCUGUGCCUCGUGCUGUCAGGUCAGAGGCUCGAUCCCUGGCUCCACUAUAAUCUACAUGCCAAUGUGUCCCUGACACUUAACCCCACGUUCCUCCUGACGGCAGCGUGUGAAAGGAUGGACACAUGGAUAAGUAGAUAUCGAUGUCAUGGCUCGGCCAUCCAUCCUGCUCAUAAUUUCUAUGGUAGAGGAAAAGUCUGACUGUCCAGUGAUUCUGUCUCCUCACCUUUACAACCA